AUUGAAAGCUGGCGGCAGGCCUAACACAUGCAAGUCGAACGAGUGGCGGACGGGUGAGUAAUGUCUGGGAAAGUGCCUGAUGGAGGGGGAUAACUACUGGAAACGGUAGCAAAUAAUGCUUACCAUCGGAUGUGGCCAGAUGGGAUUAGCUAGUAGGUGGGGUAAAGGCUCACCUAGGCGACGAUCCCUAGCUGGUCUGAGAGGAUGACCGGCCACACUAGAACUGAGACACGGUCCAGACUCCUACGGGAGGCAGCAGUGGGGAAUAUUGCACAAUGGGCGCAAGCCUGAUCCAGCCAUGCCGCGUGUAUGAAGAAGGCCUUCGGGUUGUAAAGUACUUUCAGCGGGGAGGCGUUACCCGCAGAAGAAGCACCGGCUAACUCCGUGCCAGCAGCCGCGGUAAUUC
rnacentral:rRNA from 1 species